rnacentral:tRNA from 1 species
GCCUGGGUGGCUCAGUCAGUUAAGCGUCUGACUUCAGCUCAGGUCAUGAUCUUAGGGUUCGUAAGUUCGAGCCCUGCAUCAGGCG